UAAAGCGAGUGUAGGUGGNUGNNCAAGUUGGAUGUGAAAGNCUUGAGCUCAACUCAAGAAAUGCAUCCAGGACUGAGCGACUAGAGGACCGGAGAGGAUAGUGGAAUUCCCAGUGUAGUGGUGAAAUACGUAGAGAUCGGGAAGAACACCAGUGGCGAAGGCGGGUAUCUGGACGGUUUCUGACACUAAGACUCGAAAGCGUGGGGAGCAAACAGGAUUAGAUACCCUGGUAGUCCACGCCGUAAACGAUGGGUGCUAGACGUUGGCGAGCCUGCUCGUCAGUGUCGCAGCUAACGCGUUAAGCACCCCGCCUGGGGAGUACGGGCGCAAGGUUGAUACUCAAAGGAAUUGACGGGGGGCCGCACAAGCGGUGGAGCAUGUGGUUCAAUUCGACGCAACGCGCAGAACCUUA
rnacentral:rRNA from 1 species